GAUUGAUUCGGCAGCACAUAUACUAAAAUUGGAACGAUACAGAGAAGAUUAGUAUGGAUGCUGCACAAGGA
rnacentral:snRNA from 1 species